GGCCAAUGGAAUUAGGCUUUGCUCCGGGAUUCAGCGGCGGACGGGUGAGAAAUGGGGGAGGAAUCUGCCUGGUAGAGGGGGAUAACGUCCGGUUACGGGCGCUAAUACCGCAUACCUCCUGAGGGAGAAAGUGGGGGAUCUUCGGACCUCCCGGUAUCAGAUGAGCCUAGGUCGGAUUACCUAGUUGGUGGGGUGAUGGCCUACCAAGGCGACGAUCCGUAACUGGUCUGAGAGGAUGAUCAUUCACACUGGAACUGAGACACGGUCCAGACUCCUACGGGAGGCAGCAGGGGGGAAUAUUGGACAAUGGGCGAAAGCCUGAUCCAGCCAUGCCGCGUGUGUGAAGAAGGUCUUCGGAUUGUAAAGCACUUUUAAGUUGGGAGGAAGGGCAAUAAGUUAAUACCUUGCUGUUUUGACGUUACCAACAGAAUAAGCACCGGCUAACUUCGUGCCACAACCGCGGUAAUACCAAGGGUGCAGCGUUAAUCCGAAUUACAGGGCGAAAGGCGCGUGUAGGUGGU
rnacentral:rRNA from 1 species